rnacentral:rRNA from 1 species
GACGAACGCUGGCGGCGUGCUUAACACAUGCAAGUCGAACGGAAAGGCCCUGCUUUUGUGGGGUGCUCGAGUGGCGAACGGGUGAGUAACACGUGAGUAACCUGCCCUUGACUUUGGGAUAACUUCAGGAAACUGGGGCUAAUACCGGAUAGGAGCUCCUGCUGCAUGGUGGGGGUUGGAAAGUUUCGGCGGUUGGGGAUGGACUCGCGGCUUAUCAGCUUGUUGGUGGGGUAGUGGCUUACCAAGGCUUUGACGGGUAGCCGGCCUGAGAGGGUGACCGGGGCCAUGGGGCCUGCGGGAGGGAGCAGAAGGGUACGGGCGGCAGUGGGGGGGAGUAUUGCGGAGUGGGGGGGAGGGAGAUGCAGCGGUCCCGGGUGCGGAAUGACGGGCUUCGGGGUGAAAACAAAUUUGGACUGUGACGAGGACGUAGUGACGGUAAUGAAUAAGGAAGCCCCGGCUAACUACGUG